UACGAAGGGGGCUAGUGUUGCUCGGAAUGACUGGGCGUAAAGGGCGCGUAGGCGGCUCAUACAGUCAGGCGUGAAAUUCCUGGGCUCAACCUGGGGACUGCGCUUGAGACGUGUGGGCUUGAGUGGGGAAGAGGGUCGUGGAAUUCCCAGUGUAGAGGUGAAAUUCGUAGAUAUUGGGAAGAACACCGGUGGCGAAGGCGGCGACCUGGUCCUUGACUGACGCUGAGGCGCGAAAGCGUGGGGAGCAAACAGG
rnacentral:rRNA from 1 species